CGGGGUGUAGCGCAGUCCGGUUAGCGCACCAGCUUUGGGAGCUGGGGGGCGUGGGUUCGAAUCCCGCUACCCCGACAA
rnacentral:tRNA from 6 species